UGAGCUAAUACCGGAUAAUGACGUAAGUCCAAAGAUUUAUCGCCGAAGGAUGAGCCCGCGUAGGAUUAGCUUGUUGGUGAGGUAAAGGCUCACCAAGGCGACGAUCCUUAGCUGGUCUGAGAGGAUGAUCAGCCACACUGGGACUGAGACACGGCCCAGACUCCUACGGGAGGCAGCAGUGGGGAAUAUUGGACAAUGGGCGAAAGCCUGAUCCAGCGAUGCCGCGUGAGUGAUGAAGGCCCUAGGGUUGUAAAGCUCUUUUACCCGGGAAGAUAAUGACUGUACCGGGAGAAUAAGCCCCGGCUAACUCCGUGCCANCAGCCGCGGUAAUACGGAGGGGGCCAGCGUUGUUCGGAAUUACUGGGCGUAAAGCGCACGUAGGCGGCUAUUCAAGUCAGAGGUGAAAGCCCGGAGCUCAACUUCGGAAUUGCCUUUGAAACUAGAUAGCUUGAACACGGGAGAGGNGAGUGGAAUUCCGAGUGUAGAGGUGAAAUUCGUAGAUAUUCGGAAGAACACCAGUGGCGAAGGCGGCUCACUGGACCGUUGUUGACGCUGAGG
rnacentral:rRNA from 1 species